rnacentral:rRNA from 1 species
AACGAACGCUGGCGGCAGGCCUAACACAUGCAAGUCGAGCGAGGACUUCGGUCCUAGCGGCGGACGGGUGAGUAACGCGUGGGAACGUGCCAUUUGCUUCGGAAUAGCCCUGGGAAACUGGGAGUAAUACCGGAUGAGCCCUUUGGGGGAAAGAUUUAUCGGCGAAGGAUCGGCCCGCGUUGGAUUAGGUAGUUGGUGGGGUAAUGGCCUACCAAGCCGACGAUCCAUAGCUGGUUUGAGAGGAUGAUCAGCCACACUGGGACUGAGACACGGCCCAGACUCCUACGGGAGGCAGCAGUGGGGAAUCUUAGACAAUGGGGGAAACCCUGAUCUAGCCAUGCCGCGUGAGCGAUGAAGGCCUUAGGGUUGUAAAGCUCUUUCAGCUGGGAAGAUAAUGACGGUACCAGCAGAAGAAGCCCCGGCUAACUCCGUG